rnacentral:rRNA from 1 species
AUGUUCAGGAUGUACAAGCCUUGUUUUGAUAGAUUGCAUCAUACACUUGUACACACAUAUGGCUUGAAAGGAACAAGAAACAUGAGUUCAGAAGGAGCAUUGGGUAUGUUUCUUUGGACGGUUGGGGGCCCUCAAUUCGUAAGCCAAGUGGAGAAUCGUUUCAAGAGGUCAACUGAAGUUAUCCAUCGCAAAUUCAAUGAAGUAUUGAAAUGCUUGAACGACAUGGCUAUGGACAUCAUUCGACCAAGUGAUCCAGAGUUCAGAGUUGUACAUGAUAGGCUUGGGGAUGCGAAAUUUCCUCACUUUGAUGGUUGCAUGGGUGCAAUCGAUGGUUCGCAUAUCUAA